GACUUAAAAUCCGUCGAUUUUUUAAAUCAUGAGG
rnacentral:tRNA from 1 species